AAUGUCUGUUGGUGCCAAGAGGGA
rnacentral:siRNA from 1 species